GUGUAGGGGCAGUCGGUACCACAACAGGAAAACAAAGUAUUUAACAAAGACUUUGUGUUGAAAAUGGAGACUAAAUACCUGGAAUGGAGACAAGAGAACAGUAUAAAUGCUGAAGACAAGGAGCUGAGACCAGAAGAGAAGUCAACUCCAGUGCCAGUGAUGUCAGAACUGUGUAAGAUCCCUGUCCUGGCACCCUCUGACAAACUCUUCCCAGGAAACAUUCUUUCCGUUUGAUGAUUCCAUGUUCCUGUUACCGUGGGGCCUCCUCUAGCCUGGAAUUCUGCGUCCUGCUGCUGUCAUCCCAGAACUAAUUAACUCGUAAGCUUUCAUCACAUACUGAAUACUCAGUAUAUUUAUUGAGGAAAUCAAUGAAGAGCGAAAAAAAAGAAGGAACCAACAACUUGAAUUUGGUCGAAUGUCACAUUGACUAAUUGAACAGCCAGACAGUUGGAUGAGCACUCAGCAUGUUACCUGAAGAGGUAAACGUCUUGGAUCCCACUCAUAGGAGUUGAAAAGGUCUCUGUGCCAAAAUGGCAACUUCCUGGAGAGCUCAAUCGUGGCGCCUGUGCCACCAGUGUCUUUGCCUCCACAGUGAGCCACAGCUGACCCCUGCCUCCCCAGGAGACCCUCCAAGACCCACAGACUCGGGUUGCAACCUGAAUGACCUCAAAGCCUCACCCAGCCAUCCAACUGCGUUAUCUCCAACCUGCUGCUUUAUGUCAGGGAUAAGAUCUUCAAGUAAGAUGGAAAUUUGGGAUGUUUUUCUUUCCCUCUGGAUACAUAGGUUCAUUUUAGUUUAGGGGAGAAGGCCUAAAAAAAAAUUCCUAUCAUGCUUUUAACCAUAGAGCUACUUAAAAAAAAAAAAAUCAUUUCAGAUGUCUUGUCAGGUUUCAGCUGGGACAAAUAGUAAAUA